UACGUAGGGGGCUAGCGUUGUCCGGAAUCAUUGGGCGUAAAGCGCGCGUAGGCGGCCCGGUAAGUCCGCUGUAAAAGUCAAAGGCUCAACCUUUGAAUGUCAGUGGAUACUGCCGGGCUAGGGUCCGGAAGAGGCGAGUGGAACUCCUGGUGUAGCGGUGGAAUGCGCAGAUAUCAGGAAGAACACCGACGGCGAAGGCAGCUCGCUGGGACGGUACUGACGCUGAGGCGCGAAAGCGUGGGGAGCGAACAGG
rnacentral:rRNA from 1 species